UACGGGGGGGGCGAGCGUUGUUCGGAAUUACUGGGCGUAAAGGAGCGCGUGAGCGGCCACCGCAAGUCGACUGUGAAAUCUCCGGGCUUAACCCGGAAAGGUCAGCCGAUACUGCGGGGCUAGAGUGCAGAAGGGGCAACUGGAAUUCUCGGUGUAGCGGUGAAAUGCGUAGAUAUCGAGAGGAACACCUGCGGCGAAGGCGGGUUGCUGGGCUGACACUGACGCUGAUGCGCGAAAGCUAGGGGAGCGAACGGG
rnacentral:rRNA from 1 species